rnacentral:rRNA from 1 species
GACGAACGCUGGCGGCGUGCUUAACACAUGCAAGUCGAACGGAAAGGCCCUGCUUUUGUGGGGUGCUCGAGUGGCGAACGGGUGAGUAACACGUGAGUAACCUGCCCUUGACUUUGGGAUAACUUCAGGAAACUGGGGCUAAUACCGGAUAGGAGCUCCUGCUGCAUGGUGGGGGUUGGAAAGUUUCGGCGGUUGGGGAUGGACUCGCGGCUUAUCAGCUUGUUGGUGGGGUAGUGGCUUACCAAGGCUUUGACGGGUAGCCGGCCUGAGAGGGUGACCGGCCACAUUGGGUCUGAGAUACGGCCCAGCCUCCUACGGGAGGCAGCAGUGGGGAAUAUUGCACAAUGGGAGGAAGCCUGAUGCAGCAACGCCGCGUGCGGGAUGACGGCCUUCGGGUUGUAAACCGCUUUCGCCUGUGACGAAGCGUGAGUGACGGUAAUGGGUAAAGAAGCACCGGCUAACUACGUG